CUACGGGGUGCUGCAGUGGGGAAUAUUGCACAAUGGACGAAAGUCUGAUGCAGCAACGCCGCGUGGAGGAUGACACAUUUCGGUGCGUAAACUCCUUUUAUAUAGGAAGAUAAUGACGGUACUAUAUGAAUAAGCACCGGCUAACUCCGUGCCAGCAGCCGCGGUAAUACGGAGGGUGCAAGCGUUACUCGGAAUCACUGGGCGUAAAGAGCGUGUAGGCGGGUUAAUAAGUUGGAAGUGAAAUCCUAUGGCUCAACCAAAGAACUGCUUCCAAAACUGUUAACAUAGAAUAUGGGAGAGGGAGAUGGAAUUUCUGGUGUAGGGGUAAAAUCCGUAGAGAUCAGAAGGAAUACCGAUUGCGAAGGCGAUCUACUGGAACAUUAUUGACGCUGAGACGCGAAAGCGUGGGGAGCAAACAGGAUUAGAUACCCGUGUAGUC
rnacentral:rRNA from 1 species